GAUGAAGAACGCAGCGAAAUGCGAUAAGUAAUGCGAAUUGCAGAAUUUCCGUGAGUCAUCGAAUCUUUGAACGCACAUUGCGCCCCCUGGUAUUCCGGGGGGCAUGCCUGUUCGAGCGUCAUUUCACCACUCAAGCCUCGCUUGGUAUUGGGCAACGCGGUCCGCCGCGUGCCUCAAAUCGACCGGCUGGGUCUUCUGUCCCCUAAGCGUUGUGGAAACUAUUCGCUAAAGGGUGUUCGGGAGGCUACGCCGUAAAACAACCCCAUUUCUAAGGUUGACCUCGGAUCAGGUAGGGAUACCCGCUGAACUUAAGCAUAUCAAUAAGCGGAGGA
rnacentral:misc_RNA from 1 species